UAGUCUACGCCGUAAACGAUGGAUACUAGUUGUUUGGCCUUCGGGCUGAGUGACUAAGCGAAAGUAAUAAGUGUCCCACCUGGGGAGUACGAUCGCAAGAUUGAAACUCAAAGGAAUUGACGGGGGCCCGCACAAGCGGUGGAGCAUGUGGUUUAAUUCGAUGAUACGCGAGGAACCUUACCAGGGCUUAAAUGUGGUCUGACAGGGCAAGAGAUUGCUUUUUCUUCGGACAGAUCACAAGGUGCUGCAUGGUUGUCGUCAGCUCGUGCCGUGAGGUGUCAGGUUAAGUCCUAUAACGAGCGCAACCCCUAUCGUUAGUUGCUAACAAGUAAUGUUGAGGACUCUAGCGAGACUGCCGGUGCAAACCGCGAGGAAGGUGGGGAUGACGUCAAAUCAUCACGGCCCUUACGUCCUGGGCUACACACGUGCUACAAUGGUAUGGACAAUGAGCAGCCACUAUGCGAAUAGGAGCGAAUCUAUAAACUAUAUCACAGUUCGG
rnacentral:rRNA from 1 species